GGCAGCGUAGCUCAGCUGGUUAGAGCGGAGGAUUCAUACCCCUCAGGUCCGCGGUUCGAUUCCGCGCGCUGCUA
rnacentral:tRNA from 1 species